AGUGAACGCUGGCGGUAGGCCUAACACAUGCAAGUCGAACGGCAGCACAAUAAGAGCUUGCUCUUACGGGUGGCGAGUGGCGGACGGGUGAGGAAUACAUCGGAAUCUACUUUUUCGUGGGGGAUAACGUAGGGAAACUUACGCUAAUACCGCAUACGACCUACGGGUGAAAGCAGGGGAUCUUCGGACCUUGCGCGAUUGAAUGAGCCGAUGUCGGAUUAGCUAGUUGGCGGGGUAAAGGCCCACCAAGGCGACGAUCCGUAGCUGGUCUGAGAGGAUGAUCAGCCACACUGGAACUGAGACACGGUCCAGACUCCUACGGGAGGCAGCAGUGGGGAAUAUUGGACAAUGGGCGCAAGCCUGCUCCAGCCAUACCGCGUGGGUGAAGAAGGCCUUCGGGUUGUAAAGCCCUUUUGUUGGGAAAGAAAAGCAGCAGGUUAAUACCCCGCUGUUCUGACGGUACCCAAAGAAUAAGCACCGGCUAACUUCGUG
rnacentral:rRNA from 1 species